AUACGGAGGGGGUUAGCGUUGUUCGGAAUUACUGGGCGUAAAGCGCACGUAGGCGGAUUGGAAAGUUGGGGGUGAAAUCCCGGGGCUCAACCCCGGAACUGCCUCCAAAACUUCCAAUCUAGAGACCGAGAGAGGUGAGUGGAAUUCCAAGUGUAGAGGUGAAAUUCGUAGAUAUUUGGAGGAACACCAGUGGCGAAGGCGGCUCACUGGCUCGAUACUGACGCUGAGGUACGAAAGCGUGGGGAGCAAACAGGAUUAGAAACCCCAGUAGUCC
rnacentral:rRNA from 1 species